rnacentral:misc_RNA from 1 species
AAUAAGUGUUUUAUGGCACUUUUUAAAUCCAUAUCCACCUUGUGUGCAAUGUCAGUCGAUCUCCUUCUUAUGGGAGGAGAACGACCAAACAUCAACUUAUUCUUCAACUCUUUGUCUGAAAAAUAUUAUGAAUAAAAAUAAUUCAAAAUACAACUUUCAACAACGGAUCUCUUGGCUCU